rnacentral:sRNA from 1 species
AAUUGACUGCGUUAGGGAUUGAAGUGGAAAUCCUUUUGUGAGGUACGAACAAAAGAUUGUAACGGAAAGCGCGACCUUUU